AUUGAACGCUGGCGGCAGGCUUAACACAUGCAAGUCGAGCGGAGAUGAGGUGCUUGCACCUUAUCUUAGCGGCGGACGGGUGAGUAAUGCUUAGGAAUCUGCCUAUUAGUGGGGGACAACAUUACGAAAGGAAUGCUAAUACCGCAUACGUCCUACGGGAGAAAGCAGGGGAUCUUCGGACCUUGCGCUAAGAGAUGAGCCUAAGUCGGAUUAGCUAGUUGGUGGGGUAAAGGCCUACCAAGGCGACGAUCUGUAGCGGGUCUGAGAGGAUGAUCCGCCACACUGGGACUGAGACACGGCCCAGACUCCUACGGGAGGCAGCAGUGGGGAAUAUUGGACAAUGGGCGGAAGCCUGAUCCAGCCAUGCCGCGUGUGUGAAGAAGGCCUUUUGGUUGUAAAGCACUUUAAGCGAGGAGGAGUCUACCUAGAUUAAUACUCUGGGAUAGUGGACGUUACUCGCAGAAUAAGCACCGGCUAACUCUGUGCCAGCAGCCGCCGUAACAC
rnacentral:rRNA from 1 species